rnacentral:rRNA from 1 species
UACGGAGGGGGCCAGCGUUGUUCGGAAUCAUUGGGCGUAAAGGGCGCGUAGGCGGCCACGCAAGUCGGAUGUGAAAUCCCUCGGCUCAACCGAGGAACUGCACCCGAAACUGCGAGGCUCGAGUCCUGGAGAGGGUAGUGGAAUUCCACGUGUAGCGGUGAAAUGCGUAGAGAUGUGGAGGAACACCAGUGGCGAAGGCGACUCUUUGGCCUGUAACUGACACUGAGGCGCGAAAGCGUGGGGAGCAAACAGG